rnacentral:snRNA from 1 species
AGCGAGUAAAGGAAAACUCA